rnacentral:rRNA from 1 species
CCUACGGGAGGCAGCAGUGAGGAAUAUUGGUCAAUGGGCGUGAGCCUGAACCAGCCAAGUAGCGUGAAGGAUGACUGCUCUACGGGUCGUAAACUUCUUUUAUAAGGGAAUAAAGUGCGGCACGUGUGCCGUUUUGUAUGUACCUUAUGAAUAAGGAUCGGCUAACUCCGUGCAAGAAGCCGCGGUAAUACGGAGGAUCCGAGCGUUAUCCGGAUUUAUUGGGUUUAAAGGGUGCGUAGGUGGGUUUUUAAGUCAGUUGUGAAAGUUUGUGGCUCAACCGUAGAAUUGCCAUUGAAACUGGGAGGCUUGAGUAUGGUUGAGGUAGGCGGAAUGCGUGGUGUAGCGGUGAAAUGCUUAGAUAACACGAAGAACUCCGAUUGCGAAGGCAGCCUACUAAGCCACGACUGACGUUGAUGCACGAAAGUGUGGGUAUCAAACAGGAUUAGAUACCCGAGUAGUC